GAAAUCUUACUCUUGAACUUCAUUUUCUCUUUCUCUUUUACUGAAAGGGGUGACAAAUAACAGGGCCCACUGUGGAGGUCAUUGAGGAAAUGAUGCUGAGAAUUCACUUGCUGGACAAAGGCUAUAGAGAAGGCAUUUCUUCAAGUACCUGGAUCGGCAGACAAUAAUUUGGAGAUUCACUUGCUUCCUCUUCUUUUAUGGAGAUGUGGUAUUACUAGCCUGUUUGUCAGAUGUCUAUUUUCCUUUGAGUACUCUGUCUCAAAGCCCUUAAAAGGCUUCUGUGUGAACUUAAUCUGUUCUAAAUGGCCAAAUAAAUGAUGACUGUGGCUAA